rnacentral:rRNA from 1 species
GACGAACGCUGGCGGCGUGCCUAAUACAUGCAAGUAGGACGCACAGUUUAUACCGUAGCUUGCUACACCAUAGACUGUGAGUUGCGAACGGGUGAGUAACGCGUAGGUAACCUACCUAUUAGAGGGGGAUAACUAUUGGAAACGAUAGCUAAUACCGCAUAACAGUAUGUAACACAUGUUAGAUGCUUGAAAGAUGCAAUUGCAUCGCUAGUAGAUGGACCUGCGUUGUAUUAGCUAGUAGGUAGGGUAAAGGCCUACCUAGGCAACGAUACAUAGCCGACCUGAGAGGGUGAUCGGCCACACUGGGACUGAGACACGGCCCAGACUCCUACGGGAGGCAGCAGUAGGGAAUCUUCGGCAAUGGGGGGAACCCUGACCGAGCAACGCCGCGUGAGUGAAGAAGGUUUUCGGAUCGUAAAGCUCUGUUGUUAAGGAAGAACGAGUGUGAGAAUGGAAAGUUCAUGCUGUGACGGUAC